UACAUUGUGUUAUUCAUCGCUAACGUUGUUAUUAAAUUAUUGUUGGUAACUAAAAACAUGGUAAAACAUAUUAUUGUGUUAACUUUAUGUCUUAUGACUUAUUUUAUUGGAAAUAUAGAUGCCGGAAAGAAACGUAGAGCCGGUGAGUAUAUUUUAAUUUUUUUCAUUACGUAUUAAGACAAAUCGCUUAUUCGUAUUUAUGGAGAAUCUGGAAACAGAUAAUAACUAUUUGAAUUCACUGAAAUAAGGUUAUUUUAAUAAGAUAGUAAUCAACACAUAUUAUGAAAUAUAAAGUGAUUUUUUAUUACGUUAUAUUUUUAACAGAAUCUAAAAAAUUUCCCAAUAUCUUGCUUGUUUUUUUUCUACACCUAAAUUAAGAUUUAAAAACGCAGCUAGAAACUAUGAGUUAUGGCAUUUGACUAGAGACCGGAUUUUCAUGCAGUAAAAAUCAAAAAAACGUGCAGUUAAUUGCCUAUAUCGUGGAAAAAUGAAUUUUUCGCCUAAAAUCGCUUAAUAUUUCCCAACAUUUUGUAAACAUUCAAAGUACAUUGAUUUAAAGCCUUAAAUUAUACUUUAUUUAUCCAGUUUUUUACUCUAUUACAGGAUAAGCAAUUAAAAUUAAAAAAAAAAAAAUUUAAUAAAUAAUUAACAGAUUGAUAAGAAUAUACACAUUGUGUAAAAAAACCAUACCAGCAGAGUUAAGCUAUUUCAUUUUAAUUUUAACAAUUAUAAAUACAUAAACAUAUUUUAAUUUUUUAUUGAGUUUAAAUGUACAAUGUUAUACAUUUCAUAAAAACAUAUCAAGGGAGUUAAGCUAUUUAAUUUUAAUUUUAACUAUUAUACAUCCAUAACAAAUUAUCUUUUUAAAUUUCGGGUUUCUAACUGGGUUAAUGCCUGGGGAAAAUUUGAAAAAUUUGAUUUUAUAAAAGUCAAUUUAGAAAUUAUUGACGCCGAAGUUAUGACUCUUCAAUUUUUUGAUUUGAUUUCCUUUCACAUCCGACUGAUUUUUCACAAGAAGCUCAGAAGACAGAUUUAAGACAGAACUAAAGUGUUAUUACAAGGUGUUAAUCACCGCUUACGAUGAUAUUAAAAUAUUGUUGGUACCUAUAAACAUGUUAAAACAUAUUAUUGUGUAAACUUUAUGUUUUAUGGCUUAUAUCAUUGGAAAUAUAGAUGGCGAAACGAGUAGUGAGUAUAUUUUAUUUUUUUCAUUACGUAUUAAGAGAAAUCGAUUACCUAUUCGUAUUUAUGGAUAAUCUGAAAACAGAUAAUUACAAUUUGUAUUCAUAGCAAUAGUGUUAUUUUAAUAAAAUAGUAAUCAAAACAUAUUAACGAGAUUUCUUAUUACGUUAUAUUUCUAACAGAAUCUAUAAACUUCCCAAUAUUUUGCUUAUUUUAUUCCUACACCUAAAUUAAGAUUUAAAUAGGAAGCUAGAAGCUAUGAGUUAUGGCUUAGGACUAGAGACCGACUUCCAUUCAGUGAAAAUCAAAAAAGUGUGACAAAAGAUUGUUUCUUACCUGUGUUACAAUGAGCAUCAAUUUGAGAUUUCCUUUCACAUCCGACUGAUUUUUCACAAGAAGCACAGAACACAGAUUUCCCAUCAAAUUUUUGGCAUUUUAAAAAUUUGUUUAUACUUCUUUACGUAAAUUAUUCGUAAUGAAACAAUCAUGACACCGACGUGAAUUUCACUAACCAAUUCAAGAAACACUGAAUCAAACACAAAGUCAGACAGAACUAAAGUGUUAUUACUAGGUGUUAAUCACCGCUAACGAUGAUAUUAAAUUUUUGUUGGUACAUAUAAACAUGUUAAAACAUAUUAUUUUGUUAACUUUAUGUUUUAUGGCUUAUAUUAUUGAAAAUAUAGAUGCCACGGGGAAACGUAGAGCUGGUGAGUAUAUUUUUAUUUUUUUCAUUACAUAUUAAGACAAAUCGCUUAUUCGUAUUUAUGGAGAAUCUGAAAACAGGUAAUAACUUUUUGAAUUUAUAGAAAGUUAUAGUGUUAUUUUAAUUAAAUAGUAAUAAAAACAUAAUAUGAAAUAUAACGAGAGUUCUUAUUACGUUAUAUUUCUAACAGAAUCUAUAAACUUGCCCAAUAUUAUGCUUUUUUUUUUCUACACCUAAAUUAAGAUUUAAAAAGGCAGCUAGAAACUAUGAGUUAUGGCAUUUGACUAGAGACCGGAUUUUCAUGCAGUAAAAAUCAAAAAAACGUGCAGUUAAUUGCCUAUAUCGUGGAAAAAUGAAUUUUUCGCCUAAAAUCGCUUAAUAUUUCCCAACAUUUUGUAAACAUUCAAAGUACAUUGAUUUAAAGCCUUAAAUUAUACUUUAUUUAUCCAGUUUUUUACUCUUUAGCAAUUAAUAAUAAAAAAAUAAAAAAUUUAAAAAAUAAUUAAAAGAUCAAGUCAGAAAUGUUUGACGCCGAAGUUAUGACUCUCUUCAAUUUUCUGAUAGUCUGUAACGUAUUUUAGCAACCACUGGUUUAAUUAAAAUAAAUAUAAAUCAAAUAUUAUUUCUUGUUAUAAUGAUUGGAUGCCGUGCUCAUACGCACUUAAUAGUGUUACAAAUAUACACGCGCCUACUGACAGGUUAAAUAAAAAUAUUGUUUCUUACCUGUGUUAUAAUGAGCAUAAAUUUGAGAUUUCCUUUCACAUCUGACUGAUUUUUCACAAGAAGCACAGAACACAGAUUUCCCAUCAAAUUUUUGGCAUUUUAAAAAUUUGUUUAUACUUCUUUACGUAAAUUAUUCUUAAUGAAAUGAUCACGACACUGACAUGAAUUUCCUAACCAAUUCAAGAAACACUGAAUCAAACACAAAGUCAGACAGAACUAAAGUGUUAUUAAUAGGUGUUAAUCACCGCUACCGUUGAUAUUAAAUAAUUGUUGGUACCUAUAAACAUGUUAAAACAUAUUAUUGUGUAAACUUUAUGUUUUAUGGCUUUUAUUAUUGGAAAUAUAGAUGCCGUAUCGCAGGAGGCUUUGCGGGACGUCAAAAACAAUUUGGUAGAUUAGUCAGAUGCUAUAAGCAAAUGUAUUUAAAAGAACUUGUAGUUCAAAAACCUGGUAAAUUUGACAACAUAUUAAGUGAAUUCUAUGAAAAAAGGAAAGUCACAACCGAAAUUGUAAGUGGUGAACGUUUACCAAUUGUUAACGAUACCAAUCUUCAAACAAUUAAAGUAUUUUAUGGUUUUAAAGCUGCAUUCGUGAAUGAAUUCGUUCAGAAUUUAUACAUGCAACCCAGAGUGAAUGCAUUGGCUGAAAAAUACAACAAUAAUGAACUUACUGAUGAACCACUGAAAACGUUUGUUUUUAAUUGGGGGCCUCAAGCUACAGAAGAUUUCUUUAAAUCAGUGUCAGCGUUUUGUUCUGAAUACAGCGCAUUUCCUGAAAAUAUUCAAAAGCAUUAUAUCAAAUAAACAAUAGUAGUGCAAAAAAGUGUUUGAUAGCACCUUGUACCUUAUAUAUACGCAAAUAAACAUACAGCUUCAUAUGAAUAUUGUACUAAUUAAAUUAUGUUGACAUAUGUUACACUAAGAAAUAAAUUAUAUGAUUAUAUAACUUAACUACAUAAGGAUGAUCUAAAUGUACUUUUAAUAAUAAUAAAUAUAAAAUAGAGAAUAUAAUGUAAUAUAAAUUCAUGAAUUUAUUUGUUUUUUUUAAGGAAUGUCUUUAAAUAAAUAAGACUUAAUAGGUAUGGUGUACCUAUUAAUUUUCAGUUAAUGGUAUAUUAUCAUUGACCGAAUGAUUAGUUUCAAAACUUGAAGCAACGUUUAUGAAAGUAUCAUUAAGUAUAUUACAAAACUAGAUUCACUAAUAAUUCCAUCUUUGUUUUUAAUACUAUUUAUUUUAUAUAUAUUUUUAUUUGGUUUUCCUAUGAUCUCAUUUAUAAUAUUCCAAAUUUGUUUGGUAUUGGAUUUAGAGCUUUGUAAUCUGUUUUGAUAGUAUAGUUAUUUGGAUUUUCGCAAUAACAAAUUUAAAAUAUUUCUGUAGGAAAUGUAAUAUUUUUUGAAAUGAGUGUCAAAAGGCCUGGUUCUUAAUUUAGCCGAUAAAUUUCUAAUAUAAAUAAUAAUUCCGGGAGUAAUCCAUUCUUUUAAAUUUGAAAAUUUUUUUGGUCUAUAAUUUGUAUCAGGAGAAGAUGAAUAGUUAAUAAAUUUGCUAAUUUUAGAAUUAAACACUUCAACCAUAGUAUCAAAAUUAUCAUAGUCCAAACAUGAAUGCCAAUUUUCCGUUUUUAUUAGUAAGUUUAAAUGAGCAGUGUCUAUUUUAUCUGGUCUUACAAUUGUUUUUUUAGGAUUUUUAUCAUGAACGAAUAAAUCAGAUAAUAACAAUAUUGCUGCAAAAUGAUCUGUUAAACCUGAUCUCAAAAUAUGAGAAGUAAUUUUAUUGGAUUCUGUUGAAAUAUACGAUUAAUAUUAGUAUUCAAACCAUGUAAACACACGUGCGUGUACAAUGCCGUUUUCUAAUAGAUACUUAUCUAGUUACGAUAUAGCUGUGCAACACUUUUACUAUCGCUUUCUAUAUUCUAUACGGAUACGGGAUGACCUCAACUAAUCAUAUAUAUAGGGCCUUUGAAGUAUGUAAUACUCACUUGCACGUGCAUCGUCAUACAGUGCGUAUACGGUGUGUGUGUAGUGUCACGUUAAAUUGUCCAGUUGUACGUUAUUAUAUAAUAUACUUAUACAUAAUCAUAUUGUCAUGUUAUUAUUCAUUUAUAAUAAUACUAAAGUCAUUAGUCCGUGAAGCUUCACUUUCAACAUAUUCAAUAUUAUUAGUAAAAAUAUGGUCAACUUAGAAUGAUUAGACUCUCUAGCAAUACUAUUUAUGCAUGGUAAAAAACCAUUUUCAGCCAUUAUUACAACUAUUUGAAUUUAUAAUUAUAUUAAUAUUAAUGUCAACGCAAUAAAUACAAAACAUUUUAGAUUCUGAGUGGAACGAUGAAUGUAUUGAUUUUACAAUGA